GACGAACCGUGUGAACGUUAUUCGGAAUCACUGGGCUUAAAGCGCGUGUAGGCGGGAGGGCACGUCCGUCGCUGAAAUCCCCCGGCUCAACCGGGGAACGGGCGCGGAUACGACCUUCCUGGAGGGGCGUAGGGGGACCUGGAACUUCCGGUGGAGCGGUGAAAUGCGUUGAGAUCGGAAGGAACGCCCGUGGCGAAAGCGAGGUCCUGGACGCCUACUGACGCUGAGACGCGAAAGCCAGGGGAGCGAACGGG
rnacentral:rRNA from 1 species